rnacentral:miRNA from 1 species
GCGCAGUUGAGGGCCCUGUGUGGGUGUGGGCAUGUGAGUGUGUAUCGCUCGCAUCCAUGCUCAUGCACACACCCACAUGCCCUCACUC